rnacentral:lncRNA from 1 species
AGAGAGAGAGUAAAGUCAUCCUAAAUAAUUUUGAAAGUACGGAGACCAUCAUGUUGCUAUGUAAGUUGUUUCGAUGAAUAAGGAACUCCAUUCGACGAUCCGGUUUCGGUAGUAUAAUCUCGUCUAAUUGGAACUAUUUGAAAGCAAAUUUUAUAAUCUUUUUGGCCAUCAUUCCUACCAAGCGACGUAAAAGGAUCUCAAAAAUGAUUAUUUUAAUGGCGAUGUGGAACGUUCUUAAGUUAAAUCCACCGGUGUACCGAAGGUAUCAAAUUAGAUGAAAAUUUAAUAGAACAGUUCUACUUAACACCCAAUAGUGACCAAUAUUCCCAUUGAAAUUUGCGAUCCUUUAUUACUGUUUUUUAUGAGAAUUUUCAGUUUAGCGUUCUCGGAUUUGCAGGCUACUUGUUACUAGCACAAAUCGAAUACAAAAUUAUAAAAAUUGACUUUCUAGAUACAGUAUGCAACAACGCUUAAUCAUCGUCUAACGGAACCGAUCGCCAAAUCCGGGUAUACCGCAUUAUUGAAAGCAACUUAAGAAGCUACGGAGUCUCCCGUACUUUCGAAAGCAAAUAGGAAGGCCUAGGCUCUAUAAAAGUAUAACCAUAAUUACAUACUAUAUCAGAUCUACCACUCUACUAUUAUAUAUACAUAGUAUAAUAGUAUAUAUAUCAUAUACAUAACUAUCUAUAAUAUAUAUACACAUAUAUGAACUAUAUAUGCCAGGAGGCAUCUGGUUAAGAAAGGAUCACGUAAAUAUAUUUUAAUAGAAACAGUCAAGUGGUACUCAUAACCAAACUAUACCAAUCAACAAUAGCCACUGUAUGAAUGAAAGUAACAUAACGAAGAUCAAAGAAAGUGAAAGUCAAAUUUAGGAGCGUGUUUAGGUUGUAAGUAUAAUAAUAUCUAACAAGGUAUUGCAAUCUAUCCACGGUUUUUAUCCCUUAGAUUUCAAAUGAGAUUAUACCUUAUGCUGUAUUAAGCACAUUUAGCUUUAAUAAAGUCAUAGUAAAUACAGAUUUGACGCGCUACGUGUUUAUAGCAUUACUAUGUUUGGUUCUGUCUAUGACACAGGAAUUACAGCUAAUCAGACAAUAACGUAACGUCAUAAUUACAAAAAAUUGCCUUUAGUCAUAUUAUUGUAAACUUUUUUUUACUAUUUACAAAUAAAUAUCACUCUUUACAAUGUUUAUUUUAAUAUAAUGUACAUUUUUUAAGAUUUUAAUUUUAAAUUGACAAACAUAUAAAUUUAUUUUUUUUAAAAUAUACAGUUGCAAAUUUAUAAAUUAAAAUCUAAAAAUCUAAAAAUAAAUAAGUAUAAUAUAAAAAUGUGAAAAUUACAAAUUAAUUUAAAAUUUAAGAAAUUAAAAUACAAAUUUUAGAAUAUUAAACAUUUAAAUUUAAGAAUUUGAAUUUGAAUUUGGAUUUAAAAUUUAAAAUUUGAAACUUCGAAUCGACAAAUUGAAAUUCGAAAUUCGACCAAUUUCGGAAAUUUGAAAUUUGAAUUUGAAAUUUAAAAUUAAAUUUUGUAUUGAUUAUAUAUAGAGAGAGAGAGGAGAGGAGAGAGAGAGAUGAGAGAGAGUCCGCUUCGAUACUUAUAAAGUACGAAAGCACUUGUGCUUGUAAAUUUUUUAGCCGUUAGAUCUAUGCUUUGAUUAUUUAUAUCCCGUUAGAUAACAUUCAACUCAACCACGCGCCUCAACGUUAUAGGGCCUGACAUCAUCUUAAUCCACACAUUUCUUUUAAUGACUCAAGGGUACGAAAUUAAAGUACCAAGUGACUUGUCUUUAAAGCAUAGGAGCCUAGCUCCUAUAGUAUAUAUUUAAUAUAUAUGCCGGCUAUGGUUAUGUAAAAGCACCACACCUAGGCUGGUGCUUAUAAUUUUUUAGCGUAGAUCUACAUCUUGAUCAUUUUCACGCGUUAGUAUACUAUUGAAACAACACCCUACUCACCUAGGGGGCCCACAGUUAUCACUAACCGCCAAUUCCUCUAAUACCAAGGGCCGAAAACUUACAAGCGCCAAUGACUUGUAGCUUUUCAAAGCAUAGGACUCAUUAUAUAUUAUCAUAUUAUAUAGUGCAGGCAUAAAUGUUAAUGAAGGAUUAGUAAAGUAUUAUUUGAUAGAAAGUAAUGUUAUGCUAACGCAAUUACUCCCAUGCAGAAUAGGGCUAGUUGAUGAAAGUUACUUCGAGAUCAAGAAAGGUGAUUGUCAUUUAGGGCGCGUUGUUAAAGUUAUUACUAUAUUAACAUGAGUAUUUGAAAUAUAUCGAGGUAUUAUUGGAUUUCCAAUGAGAAUACUACUUUAUGCUCGUAAAAUUAUGACGCAAUUGGUUUAAUACAGUAAUUGUAAUACUAGAUUUCUUGUUUUAUAGGAUUACUAUGUUGGUUCUAGCUCUAUAUGAAAUCAGUAAUACUAGAGCAUAAUAAGUAUAGUCUUUCGCAAAAUUGCGCUUUAAGUCAUAUUUUUGUAAUUUUUUUCUUACUAUUUACAAAUAAUAUAUUUUUACUAAAUUUAUUUUAAAUAAUUUAAUUUUUAAAUUUAAUUUAAAAUUUGAACACAAAUGAUAAAUUUAAUAUUUACAUUUAAAUAUAUAAGUAUGAAUAUUAAUUUAAAAUUAAAAUCUAAAAUAAAUAUUAUAAAUACUAAAAUAAAAAUUAAAAAUCUAAUUUAAAAUUUAGAAAUUAAAUACAAUUUGAAUUUUUAAAAUUUACAUUUAUAAAAUUUGAAAUUUAUGAAAUUUGGAAUUUAAAAAUUUAAAUAUUUAAAAUUCCGAAUUCGAAAUUCAAAUUUGAAAUUUUAAAAUUUAAAAUUUAAAAUUUAAAAUUUUAAAAUAAAUUUCAAAUUUCAAAUUUCAAAUUUUAAAUUAAAUUUUAAUUUUAAAAUUUAAAAUUUAAAAUUUGACAAUUCAAAAUUUUAAAUUAAUUUUUUUAAAAUGACGUAUUAAAAGGAUUUCGUAAGUUAGAGGGGUAAAAUUGUUAUUUUACAUAAUAAGCUGUAUUAUUGGUUUUCAGUAAUGCAAGAUACAUACCCCUCUCGUUAAUAUUUUUGUAAUAAUUCUGAACCAUUUAUAAUACUACAUUAAUGACCCGACUACAUACCGGAUGAACCAAACACGAUAACCCUAACAAGAUUAUCUGUAAUCCUGUCAGAAUAACCGAAACCAAACGGGCCUUAGGUUGUUCUCUCGAAGGAAAUAUAAAAUAACGGAACCAUCGUAAUAUUUUUUUAACUUCUACGAAAGGAAGGAUGGUAAAUAGAUCAUUCAACGAUCUGGAUUAGAUGGAUUUCAUUUCUUUCUUCAAUAGAAUAGAAGAUAAGAGAAAAAGUCAAUUCCAUUGUGCAGCCGUACGCAACGAACAAAAGAUGCCAAUACGGUUGUUCAAUUUUGUUUUAUUUUAUUUUAUUUUAUUUUAUUUUCUUAUUAUUUUUUUAUUCCUUACUUUAGUUGUGAAUUUUUUAUGCAAAUUCGACUAAACUUUAACAUUUAAUUCAACCAAUUGGACUUAGGGUGCCAGGUGGAACUCGUGGCGACUUCUUAUUGGCUAGCGAGCGGGCCCCGCGUGACGUCAGCUGACGGGCAGCAAUUGCAUCACAAGGAAUCCGACACGCAGCACUGCUCCCGGGAUCUCGAUCGUCCGCCUCGUGAUUCAGAUUCCCAACCGUACACGUGUCGGCAGAACUAAAAAGCUUUGUUUCCUACACCGGGCUUAUGAGUACACCUCGUACGCCACACCUCUUAAUUAUAAUCUUUAUUUUAUAAUUAUAUUUAAUUCAAUAUGUCACAUAAUUUUUAUUUAUAGUACACAUAUAUUAAAAAUCAGAAAUUUCGAACACUAAUUCAAUCUCUCUCGCUUUGAGAACUACAAAACAUUGUUCCCUACAUCUGAUAUAUGUAUAUAUAUAUAAAUAAAUAUAUUUCAUAAACCACACUUUUAAAACCCUUCUAUGUACAUCUUAAAAAUUAUACACAAAUUUAUUAAAUAUGUUCUAUAACAAUUACAGGGCUUAUUUAUCAAAAGUUAUACAUUUUUAGUAUCAAUUUGAUUUUCCGAUUAUAUAUCUAUCUGCAGAACGAAAAGACAUUAUUUUCUACGCGAAGUGUGUAAACACGCCCAAUACACCAAUUAGAUUCAAGUGUACCAAAGCAAACACCGAAUUUAAAUCUGUAAGCAAUUAUAUUUACAGUGUGUUACUUAUGUCGGAUCGUUGCCGCUAACCAUUAAUCCCAAAAGCUCGAGCUGUUAGAAAAUACGCAAUCAAUUCACUUAAAGCGUACAGAAACAGCGUCCACGGGUCUCGAUUGUGAUUCGGCUCACCUGGCCUCACGCCACUUCGAACAUGAUUCGGCCCAACCCAGUCUCACGCCAUUUCGAACAUAACUCGGCUCAUAUGUCCUCCCGCCACAAGGCAGGAUGCUGGCCCAUUUAAACCAACAACUUACACCCAUGUUCAACUAAGCUAAGUUUGAUAAUAUCAAUUUCUAAGAUAAUAUAAAAAAAAAAAAAGAGAACUUUUGUUAGUUUUACAUCAUUUAGGGGAAAGAAAAAAGUAUUUUGUUAAUUUUAUUCUAAAAGGACAUCUUUAUUAGUGAUAAGGGAUCAUGCAAUGAAGAGAGUUAUUUUGAUCAUUCCAGUGUACAAAUUUUGUAAUAAUUGUAACAUACUUUAUGUAUUUAUAAUGCAUUUAGGUGUAGUUAUUGCUUAUAUCCAGUGUACCAUGUAUUGCACUCUUAAAUUUUAAUUAUAAAUGAUAAAAAAAGGAUUUAAUUUAUUAAUAGAUCUGAUAAAUAUUAAUAAUGCCUACAUUUUAUGCAGGGUUAAUUUCUUACGGCUCCUUAUAAAUAUAUCAAAUAACAAAUACGUCUCUACAAAGUUUAACUUUUUAUAUUUAUCCUUACAAAAGUUCAGUGACAUUCGUAUCUGCCCUUUUAAUUUGUUACCGUUAGGACACUAUUUGUUUUAGAAGAUAAGUGAAAUGACAUUUAUGUCAUCACAAAUAUGUUCUUUCAAAAAUCUCCAACGGGUCAACUUCUUUUUUUCUACUAUGACAAGGGGUAAAAUGGUCAAUUUAUCUCAUUAACAAAUUAGAGCUAAAUAUUGUAUUUAUGGUUAACUAUAUUUUUUCUAAUGGAUCCUAACAGUAGGAGUAUAUUUAAAAAUAUUAGGACUUUUGUAUGAAUAAAUAUGAAAAGUUAAACUUUAUAGGAAUAUAUCCGUUAUUCAAUAUAUUUACAGAGAGAUGUAUGCAAUUAACCCUAUUAUAACUUAGGGUUAAUUUCAUAUAGAUCCCUACAAAUAUAGUGAAUGACAAAUAUAUCCCUACAAAGUUUAACUUUCAUAUAUUAUUCCUACAAAAGUUUUAAUAUUUUCAAAUAUGUCCAUCUGGUUUGUUACCAUUAGAGACCUGUUUAUAUUUUCAAUUCUGCCAUCACAAAUAUGUCUCUCAAAAAAUUAUAAUAGUAUAAUAUAAAGGGAUAAAAAUAUUAAAAACUAACAAGAAUUAAGUAUUUAAAUUAUGGUUAACUAAAUUUUUCUAAUGAAUCCUAAUGAUAAGGAUAUAUUUGAAAACAUCAAAAUUUUUAUAGGAAUAAUAUAUGAAAGUUGAAUUUUGUAGAAAUUUAUUGGCUAUUUACUAUAUUUAUAGGAAUUUGUAUGAAAUUAACUCGAUAACUUAUAUGUUUCAAAUAUAUUGUUAAUGAAAAUUGCGAUUCCCUGAGAUUAUUUAAAUAUAUUUCAUAACAAUUAAAAGUCAAUAUAUUAAGUACACCCUAAUAAUCUCAUAUCGGAUAGUUAAGACUAGAUAUGGAGGUAUAUAAGUUUGAUUAGGUAGGCAUAAUAACUAAACUUAAGUAUUUUUGGCCGGUGGUUUGAACCUAAUGAAUUAUUAUUGCUAGCGGGUCGGGUCGGAAUAACAAACUAAAUUAGGGUCGGUGAAUGACUGGUUAAGUCAAGAUCGGAAUGACAAGACAAGCGAGACAAGUUUCACAUCGCCUAGUGAUCUCGGGCUCUGUGUAUGUUUAAGACUGACAAGAAUGUCAGGGCCAAAACAUGGGGAUAUGUGACAACCUAAUAAUUUCACAUCGGAUAGUUAUGGCUAGAUAUUGGGUAUAUAAGCUUGAUUAGAUAGACAUAAUAAUUAGGUUUAAGUAUUUUGGACCGGUGGUUUAGAUCUAAUAAGUUAUUAUUACUAGCAAGUUGGGUCGUUAUAUUAAAAAUUGUAAAAUUCAAACAUAUCUAUUAAAUUAGAGAUUACAAUUUUUAAUCCUCUCAAGAGAGGUCCACGAUGGACCAGGUCUACUUAGUAAUUUAAAAAGCUCUUGAUUUAUUCACACCUGGUCUAUGGCGCACUAAAUCCACUUCCAAGGUACCAUGCACCAAACUUCCCAAACACCAAUUAUAAGAAAUUAAAAAUCAAAAUUUAAUUAAUUAAAAAAUAUAUAUGUUAUAUGGUGUUUCAAAUAUUUAUGCAUUAAAAAUCAUAAACUUUGCAAACGUUUAUAAAAGUAAAAUUACGAUUUUCUCAUAAAACCAUCCUAUUUUUUAUAUCAAAUUAGGUUAUUACAAUCAAAUAAAAUUUAUAAUUUUCAUAAUUUAGGUUUCCUAAUCUACUCAAAUAAUAUUUUAAUUAAUUAUCAACAGAUACGAUAUUUAAGUAUUGAACUAACUUUACUGUUAAUAAAUCAAACUUAACUAAUCAAUCAUUAUUGUUCCUAUUUUUCUAUCAAAUUAGAUGAUUAUAAUUUAAUCAAGUUUUUUAAUUUAAAUAAUUUAAGUUUUUCUAAACUACUAAAUUAAAUAGAUUAAAUUAACUCAACUAAAUCUACUAGACGCUAUAUUUAUUUUACAUGCACAUAUCAAAUUCUUUAAAAUACAUAAUUAAGUAAAUUUAAAUUAAUGUGGCAAUUUCAAACAUGACCCUCUAAAAUCCUAAAAUAUUUUACGCUGUCAAUAAAGUAUUUAUGAAAGGAUUAGUUGCGCGUUUUGUUCUCAAACUAUGAGAAAAGUGACACUUUUAUGCUCAAAUUUUAAUUUAUUGCAGUUUCUCACUCGAAAUUUAAGAAUUAUUAUAACCAAAAUUUAUAAUCCAAUUUAGUUGACCAAAUAUUGAUGAUGUAAAAAUAAUAUGGCAUCUUAAUUAUCGGUACAUAACUAAUCAUAAUACUGCUACGUCACUUCCGUAGUAGAUACAUCAAUAUAUACUCAAUUAAAUUGUGUUAUAGGGUGUGAUUGAAAUAAUUUAAAAGUUUGAGCUGAAAAUUAUAACCAAUUAAAGUUCGAGAACCAAAAUAUCACCCAACCUCAUAGCGCACGAGGCCCAAAUGUGCAAUUCUAGAGCUAAAUUUGAUAUUCAAAGAAUAAAAAAGUCUAAAUCAUGGCAUUAACUUUUUAUUUCAAAAGGCAUUAAGUUAUUAGAAAGAUACAACCAAUCCACUUAAAGUGUACAGACAUAGCGCCCAUCGGUCUUGAUUAUGACUCGGCCUAAUUAAUCAGCCUCCUACCACUUUGAGCAUGAUUUGGCCCAAUCCGAUCUUUCGCCAUUUCGAACGUGACUCGAUUCAACCUGGCCUCUCGCCGCAGGGUGUGUUGCUAAUCCCUUUAAACCAAAGGAUGCGACGUAUGUUCUUUGACAAUAUCGAAUUUAGCUCAUACAAUAUUAAUUUUUUUAUUCUUUUUUAUAAGAUUAUUCUUUUUGCAAGGAUAAAAAUUGUACGGGCAUCGUCCUCGAACUAUUAGUCCGGAGACGAUGCGGAUGCCCGCCCUUUCUCUUCAUCUCUCUCUCUCUCUCUCUCUGAACAAAUCAGGAUGCGCGAAUUUUUCCUUUUCCGUUUCUGUACGUGCGAUGAUAAUACGCUUUUCAUGCGGAACCCAUCAGCAUCGUCUCCAAACUAAUAAUUUCAGAAACGAUACACAUACAAUUUUUUUUUUUUUUUUUUUUUUUUUGUCGUGUUGGGCAUUGAAGAAGUUUACCUCCAUAUUAAACUGCGCAUUUAUUAUUUCUAUCAUCUAUCAUUAUCACUAUUAUUAUUAUUAUUAUUAUUAUUAUCAAAAAUAACGCUGCAGGUGCAUGCAGAAGCCGCACGGGGCAGUGGGGCCCAGGAGAUUAAAUCGGAAGAUCGCGCCGUUCCGUACGAAAAGAUCUGGUGAUCAGAGGAGGAUAAUAUGGGGAAAGGAGACGUGAAAAUGGUCGCAAUAAUAAAUGAAUCAUUUUUAUGGUUUGUUAUUGGAGGGGACAUGGUACAACAUUAAUUUUAGAGUGAAUUACACACUCUCAGCCCCCCCAACUAUGCAACCGUCACACUUUGGUCCCCAAAUUUUAGUUCAUAAUAAUUUUUGGGCUUAAUUAUAGAAAAUCGUCCUGAAAAUACCCGUAUGUCUUUUCACUUUUCCUCCCUGACUUUCAGAAAUUUAUAUUUUGCCCCUCUUAAAAUUUCAAAUUAUUGCAUUUAGCCCCCCCUCCCCCUCUCCUUCGCCGGAGUUCCAUUACUAUUCUGUCCAUUUUUUGUAAUUUAUACCGAAAAUAUCUUUCAAAAUUACAAAAAUAUAUUAAAAAAUUAUUUAUUUAUUUUUUUAUAGAAGAAGUUAGAAGAAUUUGGUCAUUUUGCCCUCUCCAUUAACACUUUACUGCUCUUAAAAUAUUUCUGAAAUUUUAAGGGAGCAAAAUAUAGGUUUUUGAAAAUUAGAGAGAGAAAGUGAAAAAGCAGGCAUUUAUAGGGAGAUUUUCUGUAAUUUAGCCUAAUUUUUGACUCGAACUUUCUGAAUUUUUUACAAUCUAGUCCCGCAAUCCAUUUUAGUUGAUCAAAUAUUAAUAAAUUAUUAAUAUAGAAGUAAGUGUUACGUAGCAUUAUAAUUAUUGUCGUAUUAGUAGUAACAAUAUAUACUUUUAUAUUAUUUUUACAUUAAUAAUUUGUCAGUAUUUAGCUAACUAAAUUAAGUUGCAGAACUUUAUUACAAUAAUUCAAAAAGUUUAAAUCAAAAGUUGCAAUAAAUUAAAGUUUGAAAAAUACAGUGUAAUAUAACCUUAUUUUCUUUAGGACAAUUGACAAUAUUUCUCUAUAAAAUUGGAAUAUCAUAUACUUAGUUAUUCGUCUAAACUUUAAAAUAAAUAAAAAUGUAUUGUACAUAUCUGAGUUACUAGUCAUGUUGACUUGAUUAUCUUAACUUCUCAAAAUUUUGAUUUUAGUACGUUACGUUCACUUUAUUUGAUAUAUGAUACUCAAUGAAUCUUUUGGUAGAAAAUUUAAAUUAAUUAUUUAAUUUAAUAAAUUUAUAAUUACACAAAUUAUAUAAAAUAAAUUAAUUAUGUUCGUAAAAGCAAACGAUACAUUUUGAAUUCUAAAGUCAACAAGUGAUUGACAUGCACACGUAAAAAUAGAAAACUUUAAUUGAGGUAAAAUCUAUAUAAAUUUUUACAUUUAAAUAUUGUAUAUAUUUCUUAGAAUUUUAAAUAAUUUACAAAUGAAUCCUUUUAGUAGCCAAAGCCAUCAUAUUAUAUUUUAUUUUAAAGGAUUAUUUUUCCUUAAUUUUACUUGUUUCACAGCUUUCAUAAAAUUAGCAAUAAAAAAUAUUCUAAAAAAAUUGAAGCACAUCAAAUGGCCAUAAUCUAUUAAUUAAGAACAAUAGAUUUUGAUCUCACUAUGCCAUAAUUUAUUAAUUAAGAAUGAUAGAUUUUGAUCUCACUAUUUUAAUUGAUCGUCAUUACUAAUCUAAAUAAGGGCCAAAUAAUCAUAAUACUAAAAAUAUGAGGAGGACCGUUAAUUGUGCUCUUAGGAGUACGGAGGCCUCUAUACUUCGGAGCUGUUUUCGAUGGUAGAAUUUUCGUAUCGACGAUCGGCUCCGUUAGAUUUGAUCUAACGUAUUUAAAGUUUUUAGAAAAUAAUUUUUGCGAUUUUUCGAUACCAUUUACCUAGUGAUCGAAAUGAUUCAAAAUCAUAAUUUUUAAUGAUUGAUGUCUGUCCUUUUCAAAUUUAACGGUGUAAAAGUAUUCAAAUAGAUGAAAUUUUGAUUUAAAUUUUUUUAUACUAUCUACAAUAAGAUCAAUAUUUCUGAUUGAAAAUUUUAGUGUUAUAUCAUCACUUUUUAUAGAAUUUUUAUUUUCAGCUGUUGAUGUUAAAUCCUUUCGAUUGUUAGGUAAAUAAUAUAAAAAAAACGUAAAAAUUAUUUUUCAGAAACUUCAAAUACGUUAGAUUAUGUUUAACGGAUCUGAUCGUCGAUUUGAAAAUUCUUUCAUUAAAAACGGUUCAGGAGCAUAGAGACCUUAGUGCUCCUAAGAGCACAACAGUCUUGCUUCUAAAAAUAUAGUAAUUUUUGACUAGUCAAAUUCAAAUAUAUAGAGUUAAGCUCCCAUGCUUUCGAAAGUACGGAUACUUCCGUGUUUAUAGAUUAUUUUUAAUGGCGGGACAUCCGAUUCAACAAUCGGUUCCAUUAAACAUGAUCUACACUAUUAUAACUAUUUAAAAAUCAAAUUUCAUAAUUUUUUGACUUUAUUUGCCUAGUAAAUGAAUAGUUUAAAAAUGAACGACUGAAAAUAAUAAUUUCAUAAAAAUAAUAAUAAAAGACUCAAAUUUCAAAUCAGAAGUAUUGAUCUUCCUAUUGAUGUUAAGUAGAAUUUUCUAUUAAAGUUUUUAUAUAAUUUGAAUUGUUCUACACCGUUGAACUUAAAAACGUGCCACAUCAACUAUUAAAAUAGUCAUUUUUUUAGGCUUUUUGAUCACGUGGUAAUUAAAUGAUGGCGAAAAAUUAUAAAUUUGAUUUCUAGAUAGUUCCAAUAUCGUAGAUUAUGCUUAACGGAGCCAAUCAGCAAAUCGAAUAUCCUAUCAUCGAAAACAACUUAAAAGCAUGAAGCCCUCCGUCCUUUCACAAGCACAGGAAACAUACUCCAAAUAUAUAUAUAUAUAUAUAUAUAAUUGAGCUCCUAUGCUUUUAAAAGUACCAAGUCAUUGGUGUUUGUAAGUUUUUAGCCUUUGGAUUAAGGAAUGUGCGGUUAAGAUGAUGUGGGCGUAAUAAAUGAAAUACUAGUUUUCUAGAUUUUUAACUAUUAAAAAUUGCCGUCCAUACCCUACGAGCGAUCAAAUUGUUACAUUUUCUAAACUUUAGUUAACUUAAAAACUAUCCUUUAAGAUAAGUGAUAUACACAUACAUGUUCAUCGUUGAAUUCGGGGAUAUAUAUAUAUAUAUAUCAGGCCGAUACCACGAACAUUUUCGUGGUCAUAAACCAAGAACAUUUAAAAAAUGGCAAUUUAGAUGCGGAAACUAGUAAAAGUGGGCAAUCUAAUAUGAUAAGUUGGUUGGUAGGUGAGUUGGGAUCCCGNUAGAUGAAAAAUUGUAAGGUCAGGAUGAUAUUAGUCAGUUAGGGUUGAGUGGUCUCCACUGGGUUAAAGUAUUUAAUCAAAUGGUUAGAAAUAAUGAAAAGAGUUGAUUCAAAGGCUAAAAACUGGUAGCAACAAUGAGAUUUUGCUACUAAUAGUAGCCCAGUGGCCCCAGUCCAACUCUCUCUCUCUCUCUCUCUCUCUUUCUCUCUCUCUCUCUAUAUAUAUAUAUAAAGCUAUUGGUGCUAUUAAUUUUUUAGCCCUUGGAUUGAGAAAUGUACGGUUAGGAUGAUGUGGGCUCCCUAGGGUUAAGUGGGUGGUUGGUUGAAUAGUAUGAUCUAAUUGGUAAAAAUAAUCAAAGGGUUAAAUCUAAUGGUGAAAAACUCGAUAGCACCAAGCCCUUGGUACUAUUGAUAGUUUCCCAGUCGGAGUAUGUAUANAUCCUACUAUUAUUAGUCAUUAGGGACUAAUGUAAUUAUCACCAGGGGAUCCUAACCCAGCCACCAAUCAACUUAUCAUAUUAGAUUGCCCACCUAUACUAUUUUUUUCGUCUAGAUUGCCAGUUUUUGAAUAGUCAUGUAUCCCCUGAUAUAAGUAUUCUCAUAUCAUCGACCUGACCGCAUAUUUUUUUAUUCAAUGGUUAGAAAAUUAUGAGUACAAAGAGAACUGUAGUCAUAAGAGUAUAGUAGACAUAGCCUAUAUAUGUAUAUAUAUUUAAAAUUUUCAGAAAAACAUAUAAUAUUUUGAAGCUUACAAGGAUCAAUAUGCAAUAUGCCAACUUUUACCAGAUAUAUGUGCUAUUAUACAUUUUUUUUAACUUUUAUUAGAUCAUUUAAAAAACAAAGAUAUUAAUGAAGGGCAUAUAAUUACUACUGUACGGUUCACGCAUCACGCGCCUCGGCAUUGAUGAGCCCCCAUUCAUUAAUUAGGAAGAAUUUUAAGGGGUUGGGGAUAGUAAAUUGCAAAAUUCCACCAGGAGUACUGCAACGCCAUAUGCUUCUGUUUUUGACAUGUUGGAUGGUAUUUGGAUCUGUGCAGAGAUAGGGAUGUACGUAGAUACGGAUACUCAAAAUAUUAUCCGAACUCGAGUAGGGAUACAGAUGAGGCGGAUUCAUAUUUUAUCGGAUCGAGACGGAUUCGAGACGAAUUAAUUUUAACACAAUAUUAUUCCUCGAUAGCUGAAUUAGCCAUCGCAUCAUUGUUUAAUCAAAAAAAAUAGUUGAAAUUUUACGUAUUGACCAAAAUAGAAAUGAAAAUACAAGUUUCGCAACUUAAUUGAGCUAAGUUAAACUUCAAUGUCCUUAAGGGUGCAUUUGAUCUACGCUAUUUUAUUUGGAUUUCUGUAAAUUCUAUAAAUAUUACAACGUUUGGACGAUUUUGAUUGUAAUUUAAUCAAGGCAUCUGUCCAGAGAUGAGGAUGUACAUAGAUACGGAUGCUCAAAAUGUAGGGAUACAGAUGGGGUGGAUUCAUUUUUUAUCGGAUCGAGACGGAUUCGAGAUGAAUUAAUUUUAACACAAUAUUAUUCCUCGAUAGCUGAAUUAGCCAUCGCAUCAUUGUUUAAUCAAAAAAAUUAGUUGAAAUUUUACGUAUUGACCAAAAUAGAAAUGAAAAUACAAGUUUCGCAACUUAAUUGAGCUAAGUUAAACUUCAAUGUCCUUAAGGGUGCAUUUGAUCUGCGCUAUUUUAUUUGGAUUUCUGUAAAUUCUAUAAAUAUUACAACGUUUGGAUGAUUUCGAUUGUAAUUUAGUCAAGAAUUUUCAUUCCGUAAGGAAAAAAAAUUUCUUAAAAAAAUGGAUAAUCUUAUUAACGCGCGAGGAGGAGGGCACAUCACAUUUCUAAAUGCACAUAAUUUAAAUCCUUUUUACUAAAUUGUCAUAACAAUUCUCAAACUCUUCAAUUUAAAUUAAAAGUUAAAUUUAGAUAUAAAUUUAAUUAAAUUUAGAUUUACACGAAGUAUCUAUAAUUUUUUUAAUUUAAAAAAUUAAAUUCGUAUUGAAAUUCACAAUUCGAUAGUUAAAUUUAAAUUUUAAUCCUAAUUUUUUUUUGACUGUAUCAACAAAUAUAAUACAUGAUCAAGAAACAGUUCGGAGGCACGCCAUACUAGCUAAUUCAUAUUAAAUAUAAAAAUAUUUAAACACUGUUCUCUAUCAACUUAAGUUUUUAGAGUAAACAGUUGUUUCAUAUAAUUUAAUAUGGUAUCAGAAUAAUAGAUCUUGAGUUCGAGUAAUGCCAAGCUCUUUACAUUAUUAAUUUUCUCCUAUUUAAUUUAAAUUCACGUAAGAGAGUAAAAUGUUAUUUCAUAUAAUUUAACAAUGCAUGUCUAAACCAGGUAAUUAAAAUGAAGAAGCACAAGGAUUAAAAUAGAAUAAACAAUGUCUUCCGAGAGUAAAUAAAAAUAUUAAUAAACUUCAAAAUUUGCUUCUAUAAUAAGUUUGGAUCCUAUUUAUAAUAAAAUUAAGAAAUCCAAAUCCUACUUUAAAUCAAAUAUCAAGAUUUUAGCAAUUCUUUUUUUUUUGAGAGAAUAGGUAGCACGCUACCUGCUUCAUUCGUUGGAAGGAUGAAUUAUGCUACAAGGGUGAGGCAGCCAGGGCCUUGGGAAACACGAGAAAAACGCUUGAACGUACAUGAAAAUAAAAAAAAAAAAAAAUCAUAAGAGGUCUCUCCAAGAAAUGAUCAGCUGCUUGAGCCUUUGCACCUCUAUCACGGGGUCCAGCUGAAUGUCACGAAAGAUAAGGUUGUUCAUGGCCUUCCAGAUGCUCCACCAGCAAUUUUAUUGAUACAAAUAUAUCUAGAAUAUCCAGGAAGGUCUAUCGUGAUGCUAGAAUCCCACCCGUGAUCGACGUGAUUCGCUUACGCACCUACGCCGGUCGUUCCCUUGAUUUACAUGGUCGUCGAAAGGAUUCUCAAAGCUAGAAGACUCUAAAUCACGAUUAUCGUCAACAUGGUUUUGAUUUUCCAUCUAACCAAGAUGCUUGACCAAUGUCUCAAUCUGCCUUAUAAAUUCUUCGAUCUCAAAAUCACGAAGAUCUCACUCUCUUUGGGGUAGUCUAUGAGGAAGAUUAUCACCGCUCAGGUUGUCAGGAAUACGAGCAACCGCGUUUCAAUUCUGAUUUACAGUAUUUCGAUUCUGUCUUUGACCUCCAGCCAUGAUACAUGACCAAGAAACACUCCCAAAGCUCGAUCUAGCUCUAAUAAUAUAUGAUGCGGGUCUAAACCAUAUGACUAAAAUGAAGAAGCACAAGAAUGAGAGGGAUAAAUAAUCUCUUUCACGAGAGAAUAAAAAAAAUUAAUAAAAUCCAAAAUUUCUAUCUUUCUUAUAAUAAAAUUAAGAAAUCGAAAUCCUACUCUAAAUCAAAUCUUAAGAUUAUAGCAAAUUUUCUAAUACAAAUAUAUCUAAUCCUAAUUUAAACUUGCAAAACUAUAGUCCUAAUUCUAGGAAUUUAUUCUUUAAUAAAUCCUAAAAGUUUUAAAAAUCACAAAAAAACAAAUUUUUUUUUUUGACAAUUAACAAAAUAAAAUUUUAAUCCUCUAAUUAUUUUGUGACUGUGUCAUUCGUUUCCGCUGUAAAGAUCUCGCCCUCGAGAUCAACUCGAAUAUCUUAGUGGAAUGAUGCAAUUUAAGUUCCGAAUUUAGAAAGUAACCCGAUUCGAUGAUGCAAUUUAAGUUCCGUGACAUAAAACGAUGGACAUACUCCCUCGACUUAAAUUUUGAAAUUGUUGGUAAAAGGCCUGUGGGUAUAAUCGAAGGGAAGAGACUGCUCUCGUAUCUUCUUUGUCAUGUGCUCAGAAUCAGUAAUUUUAAUUUUUUUUUUUUUAGAUAUGAGCCUUCUUUAACUAUAUAGAAGUCGAAUCACAAAUCGACAGGCAACGAGUUUCACCUUCUUAUCCUUGGGCAAAUUCUUACAUUCACAAAUGCACUCGAUCGCAUUAAUCUAGUCAAUAAAGUCUAUCGCUUGUAAGCGUCUAGAAUAUUUAGAAAGGUCUACCAUAAUACUGGAAUGCCUCCAUCGAUCAUAGCGAUCCGCUUGAAGACUCUGAAUCAUGAUUGUCGUCAACAUGGCUUUGAUUUUCGAUCUAAGCAAGACUUCUCAAUUCUGCGAUCUUGAUAUCAUGAAGAUCUCACUCUAUUCAAGGUGAUCUAUGAGGAAGAUCUUCUCCGUUUAGGUUGUCAGGAAUAUGAACACCUGCGUUCGAUUCUGAUUUGCCGAAAUGAACUGACUCAUUUUUAUUGUUCAGUUUCGUUUGUUUUGAUAAGCAAACCAAUUAGAUUUGAUUCUCAGAAUUGAAAAUAAAAAAAAAUAAAAUUAACAGAAAUAAAUAAUUUUUCUAAUUUAAUUUAUAUAUAUGUUAUGGAUAAUCUAUUUUAAGGUCUCCUCGGGAAGUUAGUGUAAGAAUUUCUUAGUACGAAUGUGAAAAAAAAAAAAAUUAAUUUUUGUUCUUUAAAAGUGUUGAUAUUCAUAAUUUGAUAGGAUGCUAUUUUGAUUUAAGUGAUUUAUCUUAUCCAAAAGAUAAUUUAAAAGCCUAAUAUGGUAUCCAAUUCUAGAUAUUUAAUCACAUUCCUCAUCUACUAAAUUUACAAUUUUUUCAAUAAAUAAAUGAGAGAAGUAUACCGAACAAGAUAUUUAUAUAUUCAAACAUUGCGACUGUAGACAUAGUGUGCAGGUCGAGGUCGUAAUGAGUAAGCUCUCAUCUUAUCCGAAAAAAUGUUCAAAAAAAUAGUUUUUAGGUGGAAAAGAUAUUUUCUAUCCGUUUGAUUCAUAGGAGAACUAGUUCUUCUAGAAAAUAUUUUUUUAGUCCAAAUUUUGUGAAAAAUUAGUGUAUUCCUUUUCCCCCUUUUUUUUUUAUCCGAAAAAUAAAAACUAUAAAAAAAAAAUAUUUUUCAUAAAAUGUAAGGUAUAGAUUGGCCUAGAGUAUAAAUUAGGCCCAUGAAAAUAAUAAAAGCACUAGGGCUUGGCCCAACCCUACUAAUCAUGGCCCUUUUCCCCUCCUUUAAACUUCUACGUGCAAUCGAAGUGUUCGAUGGUGAGAUCCCCACCACGAUGCCCUUUGCGUAGCGACACCACGAUCCACUCGCCGGAGCCUCGCCGGAGCUCCGCCACCUCCGCCGCCGCCUCCGACGACGACGACCCUUUGAAUCCUCUUCGGCAUCUCGUGCUUCUUCUUCUUCGUCGUCUUCUUCGUCGUCUUCUUCUUUGCGUGCGCGCGAAGCGAACUCGGAUGUGAUCGAAGCGCUACCUCGAUCGCCCGGGUCGUUUGGGGGGGGCGCGGGGGGAGGAGGAGGAGGGUGCCGGGAUGGGGAACAAGAUCGCGCGGACGACGCAGGUGUCGGCGUCGGAGUACUACCUCCACGACCUGCCCUCGUCGUACAACCUCGUGCUCAUCGAGGUGCUCGGCCGCGGACGCUUCUUCAAGUCCAUCCUCUGCAAGCACGACGAGGGCCUCGUCCUCGUCAAGGUCUAUUUCAAGCGCGGCGACCCCCUCGAUCUCAGGGUAACCCUAACCCUAACCCUAACCCUAACCCUCAUUCCUAACCCAAACCCCCCUUUUCUACGUUCAAAUCACGAUCCUCAUGUGCUUCUUUUGUUUUGCUAUUGAACAGGAGUACGAGAGGAGGUUGGAUCGAAUUAGGGAGAUAUUUCAGAGCGUGCAGCAUCCCCAUGUUUGGCCUUUCCAGGUGAGUUCGCAAACCUCUCCUCUCCGUUACCGUUUCAGAUUAAUUUUUGGGUUAUAUUCGUGGGGAUCGUGGAAAUUGGGGGAAUUUGAGGCUAUGAUAUGUAAUGUAACUAUGUAAGUGGUAUUACAUCAUUAGAAGGAAGUGCAUAGACAUGCAAUUUUGGAAUUCUAUGGUUUAUUUUUUAUGCCAGGAAGAAAGUGGAACUUUUAAUUGUUACUCUUGCAUGAUUUCUUUAGAUAUAAUUUGGUGAAAUACAAAGUGGACAGUGAUGUGUAUGACUGAAAUUUGUCCAGUAAGCAAUAUCUCCUGAUGGAUUGAUGCGAAUUUGUAAUCAUAUAUUGACUCAUCUCUGCAAAAUUUGAUUUUUAUUGGUUUUCUUUGAUAAAUUGUGAACUUCAUGUACUAUAAAAAGAAUGAAGUGCACCUAGAGAUGAUUGUCAAAUAAUUUAUGUUGACGUCCUCAUGCAAGUUAAAAUUCUAGUGGUGUAUCUGACAAGAAGUAUUUAAAUUGUUAUAACUUAAGUGUAAACGUUGUCAAAAUAAGUAAAUUUGAGGCGUUUUUAACUGAACGAAACUUAUGCGGUUAAAUUAAUGAGAUAUGUGUAUAGACUUGCUAUCUUCUUACUUUUUGCAUGGAAUAUAGUUUUGGCUGGAGACAGAUAAGGCAGCAUAUCUAUUGAGGCAAUACUUCUUCAGCAACCUUCAUGAUAGGCUCAGCACACGACCCUUCCUUAGUCUCAUUGAGAAGAAAUGGCUUGCUUUUCAGGUAUUAUUACCACAUCUCUUGAACAAACUACUGUCGAUAAAUGAAUGUGAAGGACUCAUCUUUCUUGCACUCAUCUCGUUCAAUGUAAUUGGUAUAAUCAUUUGCAACGUCUUAACUCUUAAGUAUGGAUUACCAUUUUCUCUGCAUUGUUUUCAGCAAUUUCAUGUGAUAUAUAUAAAAAAAAUCAAACAAUAUAAAAAAAAUGUGAUCUCUAAGAUAGCUUUACUUCGCAUCCAAAUUUAUUGGGUGUCUCUGAAGAGACGAUAUACUUUUAGUUUGUUGGAAACAGUAUGGUGAACCACUUUCUACAACAUACCUCUUCUGAUUGACAGCUGUUCUGUUAUAUAUAGGUACAAGUAAGUACAUAAAAGUAUAUGACUAUGUAUUUAAAUGUUCCAGUCAAAUUGGACAGAAAUAAACGGAAGCCCCCGGUGGUUCUGAAAGCAUUCUACUAAUUUGCCUUUCUGUGUAUAUGAGUUUGUAUUUAUUUACUUAUACAUAUGAACAACCUAUUGAAUCAAUUCACGAAAUUCCAUUCAAAAUAUGAUAAAAACCUAUACAAGAAUCAAAUUCAACAGCAUUUUUUCUUUUCUGAAACUCUUGGCUUCUAACUAAAAACCGCUGUUACCAAACUAGUAAGACUGGUUCAGACUGAUUUAGACCAGUUAAUAGUAGCGAACAUUCUACAACACUGCCAAAACUACAACUGCUAGAACUAUUUUAGUUGGCAGCACUGUAAAUCUGAAAACCACUGAAAUGAAAGGGGUCCAAACUAUUGAAGAUGUCAAAAUUUAGUUAGUUUAUCUUGGUUUUAGCCAUGAUGUUAUUUCUGACCAAAACUCUAGAUUUAAUAGGAAGUACUUAUCAGCUUUUACACAGAUGAUGCUCUCUUUGAGUUGUGAGAGGCAAUUUUACGUGACUUAAAUACGAUAAAAGCAAUUUUUUUUUUUCAGCUUCCUUUCCAUGCUUUCCAUAUGCUGUACAUGUAAAGUUCGUCUUAAUUUUUUUUUCCCCAGAUGUGGUUGUGGACUUAGCUCAUUUGUUAUGCAGUUACUUUGUGCAGUGGAGCAGACCCACAGUAAGGGAGUUUGCCAUGGUGAGAAGCAUUUUUUUGGAGGCAAGUGAGUUGAUGAGUUUUCAAUAAAAGAAAAUGACUAUUGACGUGUGGGCUUUACUUACAAUGUAGGUGACAUAAAAUGUGAGAAUGUUCUUGUCACCUCUUGGAAUUGGUUAUAUCUUGCGGAUUUUGCAUCCUUUAAGCCAACAUACAUACCGGAUGAUGACCCUUCGGAUUUCUCAUUCUUCUUUGACACUGGAGGAAGGAGGAGGUGUUACCUUGCACCUGAAGUAGGUUCCUGCAUAUCUAACUUGUAAUUGGUUUAUUUUCCUUUCUUUAUCUUCUAAUUAGUUCUAUGAAUCCUUCCCUUGUUGUUUUUUUUAUUUUUUUAUUUUAUGAUUUAUUUAAGAUAUUUUAUCGCAUAGAGUUUAUUUAUGCAUUUCAGUUGUGAGUGAUAAAUUAUACAUUGGUUUACAUUGGCUGUUUCAGUUGCUUGUUAUAACUUUCUUUUCGUUUCUUUAUUUUGUUAAAAGAUGAUGCUGUUCUAUGCUUGGCCAUGGUGCAUCACAAGAUACCGACAAUACUAAGACUAUAGAAGCCCAUUGGCUGGCAAAUAUAAUCACAUAGAAUUCUAGUUAGGACAAAAGGGAAGUGGUAUUAUAGUAGGCCUGAGCUUAUGCAGUUUUCAAAUAUUCUGAUUGAAGUGCCUGCUAUAGCUAAUUUUCUUGCACUUCUUGUGAGGUAUAUUAUAUAUGUAAUUUUCUUCAUUAGUGUGGACUCUCUCUGGUUGAUGACCUUGUGAAAGAGAUGGAUUGAAUCAUGUUUUUUUCUAAUCUCCUAGAGAUUCUAUGAGCAUGGAGGUGAAACGCAAGUUGCACCAGAUUCACCUUUGAAGCCAUCAAUGGACAUAUUCUCCCUUGGGUAUGUGCUACCUUUCUUGUUUUAAGCCAAUUUAAUUGGAUGCUAACUAACUUAGAAUUUUGCUAUAUUUAUUCUUCAUGUGUUUUUGAUCUAGGAGUUACAUUUGCUAGCGGCCUUAAGAAUAUUGAAGAAUGUCAUGAUGAUCCGUCAAUUUAAUAUUUUAUUUGUCCAAACACAUCUUUUGUUGUAUGUUGAGCUGAACUAGUUUAUCAGUACGCAAUUAUGUAAAAAUAUUAAGGAUGCAUAGUUAUUCAGGUUACAAUCUGCAUAUGCUACAAUUUAUUAGUUUUUUGCAUAUUAACUGACAGCAAGUUAAGGAUUUUAUUUUGGUAUAUAUCAUUGGGUUUGAUCCUUGGACUUCUGCUGGAAUUUAGUAGCGGAACUAAAGGUUUAAGUGCCCAUUGCUACGGCCCGUGCCCUCCGUAUCGUAUCAUGCCAACAGAGUAUCAACGUGAUACAAUUCCGUGUUAAUGGCACAGCUCAAACCCCUUUUUACAUUAAUAAAGUGCAAAAGAUUUCGUAAAGAUAUAUAAUAAGCAAUUGGAAUAUGCUGGUGCCAAAGAAAAUAUAUAUUUCAUGCUUAGCACACAGAUAAAAUUUUUUGACUGGCACAUACCGGCAGAGCAUGGCACUUGCCAUCCUGUACUGUGCCGUCAAGUGCCCACUACGACACCGUGCUGCGCCAAUUAAAUCUUUAUGAGGAAGGAUGGGUUUCUAUGGGCUUACAUCUUGUAGUUCCUAUAAUAUUGAAGAAACACUCAUAUAGAGCAUUUUAGCGCAUUUAGAUAUAUGAUAUUUAUUUUCUGGGUGUUUGACUCUAGCUAGGUGUUAUAACAGUUGACAUCUUAUAUAAUGAAAUAUUAAUUUAUAUUAGAAGUAAUUUUCUUUGUUUUUUUUCCUUUUGAUGAAUGCUUUGAAUCUCCGUAAAUGUGAUGAAUUUGACAGCAUGAAAUUUGUUUUCUUGAUGAGCAUUUUCUUUCUUAAGGUAUAAUAAUCUUUUACAUUUAUUUUUUAGAUGAAAUAAAAUUGUUGUUACCUUCUCUUUUCAGGUGUGUGAUUGCUGAACUUUUUCUCGAGGGGCAGCCACUUUUUGAGCUUUCCCAACUUCUUGCUUAUCGUAGAGGGCAAUAUGAUCCUAGUCUGUAUCUAGAAAAGGUGUUGCCUACUUUUUUCAUGCUUCCACCGUACAGUAUUUUUUAGGAUUUUUUUUUUCCCUUUUUUAUGUUUCAUUUUAUUUCUUUUUUCUGCUCCACCUUUCUGGUUGAUCUACUGUAAGUAUCAAAAAUCCUUGAUUGUAGGAAUAAUUACUAUGUAUGUGGACGUUGCACUUAGUUGAACCCUUUUUCUAUGCGGUGUUAUUCGGAUUUCAGGAAAUAGAAACGAAAGGUAAAUGAAAUAAAAUUUCUUUGAUUUGUCUGAAAUCCUCUUGAGAUUGCAUUUGCUUGUAUUUAAGCAAACAUAAAGCCCUUUCCCAUUCUCUCUCUCUCUCUCUCUCUCUCUCUCUCUCUCUCUCUCCACCUCACUUCUCAAACUGCCUUUUACUUUACAUCUAUCUCUUGUGUUGUUGUCACUGGUCCUACCUCUAUGCACCCUGCUGCCUCCCACUCCAGCCCCGUUGUUGCCCUAAUGGCCUCAAUACUAAUUAUUAGAGGCUUUGAUGAAUGGUCAUGUUAAUGGAUAUCAUAGGGGCUUUGAUGCUUCCUCAUUGCACGCAGUAUUGGAUAUACAUUUACAUGGCCAUUCAUAAGCUUUAGGCAUGAUUGUUAACUGCAUGCUCUUUGACUGAAACAUCAUGUCAAUUAAAUUACUGAUAGCAGGAUGUUUUGUCUAUCAGAUAUGCAAAGUUGAAAUAACACAAAGUUCAUCCGUAUACGAAUGAAUGUGUGGUGUUUUUCUUUUAUUGUUAUUGCUAUAACUCCUCAUUUUUGCUUUUUGCUUUGAAUGUCAUUCCUUAGUAGAAGUGACAGAUCUUGAUUUCAAACAUGUGUAUUUAAUAUUCUUUCUACUUAUUUCCAAAUAUGUGAUGCCAAAUUGUAUGGUUAUGCUCGUGACUUCAGAUUCAAGAUGUUGGGAUUCGGAGGAUGAUACUUCACAUGAUUCAAUUGGACCCAGAAUCAAGGUUAUCGUGCGAAAGCUAUUUGCAAAGCUACGUGUCAGAAAUAUUUCCAAGUUAUUUCUCUCCGUUUCUCCAUAAAUUCUUUUCCUGUAUGAUUCCUCUCGACUCGGAUACAAGGGUAUGAGAAUUUAAUGAAAUCGUAAAAUCCUAGAAUAUUGAGGCCCUUUAUUUCCUCUUUGUGAUAACAAAAUAAAAUCCUAUCUUUAUAGGUUGAUGCAACUCAGCGUGCUUUUGAAACAAUACACAAACAAAUGAUGCUAAAGAGCUCAAUUGAGGAAAACACGGCUGACUCGUGUACAGGUCCCGAAAUCAGCAACAUUGAAUCUUCUGAACUCAUAAAAGGAGGGAUGCAUAGAAUGAACUCUCCAAAGAGGAAAGGUGACAUAGAGAAAGGAACAACUUCUGGUCAGAUCCAGAUAGUUGGAGAUAUUAAUUCCCUUCUCAAGGAAGUAGAAGAGGGAGACCAUAGUUCACGUGUAAAUCUAACACAGAAAGAUGUUCAAUAUGCUUCUUCGCAGCCAUUGAAUUAUUUGAGGAAGCAAGUCUUGAGUUGUUUUAAAGGGCAAAGGGAGAACGAAGCACCCAUUUUCAGAAAGAUGCUAAAGAGCGACUUGGAUUCUUUAAUGGUUGGAUAUGAUAGACAAACAGAUACAUAUAACAUGCCCUUCCUUUUUGGAACAGAAAAUAAAACAAAUAAAACAAGUUGCGAAGGUAUGGUCCUGAUUGCUUCCUUACUCUGUUCUUGCAUACGAAGUGUGAAGCAGCCACAGUUAAGAAGGGCAGGCCUAAUCGUGCUCAAGACUGCUGCUCUGUAUAUAGAUGAUGAAGAUCGAUUGCAACAUGUAGUUCCAUAUGUAAUCGCUAUGCUUUCUGAUCCAGCUGCAAUUGUUCGUUGUGCUGCUGUGGAAACAUUAUGUGACAUUUUGGCUCUUGUCCAAGAUUUCCCACCUAGCGAUGCUAUGAUAUUUCCAGAGUAUAUACUUCCAAUGCUUUCUAUGCUUCCUGAUGACCCAGAGGAAAGUGUCAGGAUUUGCUAUGCGAGCAAUAUAUAUAAAAUUGCUUUUACUGCAUACAGAUUUCUGAUCCAUGCACACAAUUUAGCUGAUGGGGGAUCUCUCGAUAAAUUAAGUCUUGCAAAGAAAAAACAUCAAAGUAAAAGUGGAAGUGAGCUUUUCAAGUUGAGGAAAUCCAUAGCAGAAAUUGUGCAAGAAUUAGUAAUGGGUCCCAAGCAAACUCCAAGUAUCCGUAGGGCUCUUUUGCAGGAUAUCAGCUAUUUGUGUUACUUUUUUGGGCACCGGCAAUGUAAUGACUUUCUGUUGCCAAUUCUCCCGGCUUUUCUUAAUGAUAGAGAUGAGCAGCUGCGGGAGGUUUUCUAUGGUCAGAUUGUUUUUGUCUGCUACUUUGUUGGUCAAGUGAGUGUCGAGGAAUACCUUUUACCUUAUAUUGAGCAGGCUCUAAGUGACGAUAUGGAGGCUGUCAUCGUUAAUGCACUUGAUUGCUUGUCCAUGCUUUGCAAAAGUGGCUUUUUGAGGAAAAGGAUACUACUUGGUUUAAUUGAAAAAGCUCUUCCCUUACUAUGUUAUCCGAUCCAAUGGGUAAGGAGGUCAGCCGUCAAAUUCAUUGCAGCAAGUAGUGAGAGCUUAGGGCCAAUAGAUACCUAUGUGUACCUUUCGCCUGUUCUACACCCUUUCCUUCACCGAGAACCAUCGUCCCUCUGUUCUCCGGAAUCGCUUCUUUCUUGCCUUAAGCCUCCUGUCUCAAAAUUGGUUUUCUACCAAGUUCUAGAGAAUGCUAGGAGCUCUGACACGUUGGAGAGACAGAGAAAGGUGUGGUAUAAUAAUUCAACUGCUUUAUUGAAUCAGUGGGAAACUAUUGAACACUCUAAGAAAGAUGUAGGAGAUGCUCAUUCUUUGAACACUGCUCUGGGUAAAGAACCCAUUGGCCAAAGUGGAAAAUACUCUGGUAGAGCAGCUCAAAGUGCAUCUUUUGGUGUUAUUGAGGAUGUUGCAAAAACCAGAGCAGCUAACUCCUUCCAUAAUAGACUAGUAGAUGUUAAGGAUUCAUUGUCUUCCGAUAAGUUGCAAGUUUCUGGCUUCAUGCCCCUACAUGUUACUGCUGGAAAUGGUUCCUGUAAUAAUUCCUUCUUUGAUGGAGUGUCUGAAGGCAUACCAAUAUACUCUGUUUGUGUUGAUAAGAAUUCUUCACCAAACUUGAAAACGAAGGGAGCUACUUCAUUAUGCGUGCCCUGGUUGGAACCCACGAAUAAGCCGUUGAGUCUAUCUGCUUCUGUCCCACCUAGGCUCAUUUCAGGUUCUUUCUACAACAUGAAUGCUAAUGCUAAUUCGGUCCAAAAACCAAAGAAAUAUUUAGAGGAGAGCGAAACUGAUCAAUCUUCUUAUGUGACUAGCAAGUUUCAAGAAGUUACUAUUUAUGACACCAUAAAAGGAAGCUCUUCUACAACUGGUGAUGAUCCCUCACAAUCCGAUUCAACAGGAUUGCCUUCAUUUAGCAGGGGAGUUCCAGACACUGGUUGGAGGCCUCGCGGGGUUUUGGUAGCACAUCUUCAAGAGCACCGCUCUGCGGUUAACGACAUAGCCGCAUCGAAUGAUGACAGCUUCUUCGUAAGUGCUUCUGACGACUCCACUGUUAAGAUAUGGGACACCAGGAAGCUGGAAAAGGACAUCUCCUUCAGAUCGAGGCUGACUUAUCCUCUUGGUGGGUCCCGUGCUCUAUGUGCGACAAUGCUUCGUGGGACCGCAAGGGUUGUUGUGGGCGCUAGUGACGGGAUGUUGCACCUGUUCUCAGUUGAUUAUAUAUCAAGAGGGAUGGGGAGUGUGAUUGAGAGGUACACUGGUGUUGCGGAUGUGAAGAAGAAGGAUAUUGGUGAAGGUGCCAUACUUAGCCUGUUGAACUGUUCGACUAAUGAUAGUUUUGUCAGUCAGACGGUUCUUUUUAGUACGCAACAUUGCGCUAUUCAUCUCUGGGAUACAAGGGCAAAAACGGAAGCUUGGAAUUUUAAAGCAUUACCCGAUGAAGGAUACAUCUCAUCUCUUGUAAUGGGUCAGUGUGGGAAUUGGUUUGUUUCAGGGUCUUCUAGAGGCGUGCUUACUUUGUGGGAUCUGAGGUUUCUUUUGCCUGUCAAUUCUUGGCAGUAUUCUACAACUUGCCCUGUGGAGAAAUUGUGUUUGCUAAUCCCCUCAUCGAACUCCUUAUCUUUGAUGGCACAGCCAUUAGUUUAUGUUGCCGCUGGCUGUAAUGAAGUUUCUCUGUGGAAUGCAGAGAAUGGAAGCUGCCACCAGGUACUAUUGAGUUCAGUUUGCUGUUUGUUUAAAUCAAGAUAAACUGUAGAAGUGAUAUAUAUUUCUUUUCUGUGUGAGAAUUUGAUCUAAAAUAAUUGCAUAGUCUGAUUUGAUGUUUGUACAAGUAAAUAGCUAGAGAAUGAACUGAUAGAAAAAUGCAAGUUUCCUCUGAAUAUCUAUUUUUUUUUCUUCAAUUCAAGAGUAGAGAGUCAUGCUUAAUGGAAGUCUUUUGAGGCAACAUAAUAGCCAAAGCAUAUGUUUCAUAAUGAUUAUAUUUCUGGUCAAGAACUAGCAUCUUUCAUAGUAUUUUAUUGCAUAAGAGAGGGUGGCAAGGAUUUAAGUGCCCAUCGGCACUGGCCGUAUCCACCGUGCCGUUUCGUGUCAACAAGAUAUUGGCAUGAUACAGUCUCCGUAUCAAUGACGUAGCUCUAAACCCAAUAUGUUUUAAAUUAAUGAGUAAUUUUCUCAAUAAAGCUCAAAAGAUUUAACAAAGAUACAUAAUAAACAAUUAGAAUAUUUUGUGCCUAAAGAAAAUAAAGAUCUCAUGCCAUCAUGUGUUGGGACACAUGUAUUUUUGCGACUGGCACGUAUCAGCACGGUUCGACACCCACUGUGCCGUAACAUGCCGGCAAGUUUUCGGCACAACCCCGUGCCACAGCACUAAAAUCCUUGGAGGGUGGUGUGGUAAAAUGGUUGACCUUUAUGCUUUUAAGUUUUUUUAAUAAUAAAAAGGGAAAGUGGUGUAUAAUAAAUCAAGGAAAAGGUGUGGUAUGUGUGUGUAAUUUAUUGUCUUUUGAAAUUUUUCAUGAACUCGAUCUGAUUCUUUGCAGGUAUUCAGAACAGCAGGCAGCGGAAAUGAAGCAGAGAUAUCUAAUGUUCCCAGAGCACUCGUGAGGCCGACUACCAAGCUGAGUGCGAAACAAGAUGUGAAGCGAAUAAAUAGUUCUAAAUACAGAAUCGAUGAACUGAAUGAACCUUCUCCUCGUCUUCCGGGUAUUCGCUCAUUGCUUCCUUUGCCUGGCGGUGAUCUAUUGACUGGGGGGCCGGACCUGAGAAUUCGCUAUUGGGAUCACACCAGGUUAGUUUCAAUACCAACUUGUAUUUUUUUUUGUCUCAUUGGUGUUUAUGCUUAUGUUGUUUGUUAUGUUUUUGCGAUUUUGUAGCCCUACUCAAAGUUACUGUGUCUGUGGUCCCUCGAUUGUGGAAAUUGGGACCGGGGAUCUAAAGGAAAAGGAACAAGAUAAGUCUUAUGAUGUAAAGUCUAGCUUUGGGGUACAAGUUGUGCAGGUAAAUGUUAUCUUUUGAAAUACCAACUCCACUAAAUCAUGUUGACUAGAUGCUGGACAAUGCGGAAGCACCUCGCCUCUUUGAUUUAUUACACUAAAUUCCUUUAACUAAGAUAUUUGGAGGUGAAAUCAUAACUUUCUACACUGAAAGUUGGCAAACUAAUUAUCUUAUUUUUUCUUUAUCAAUUUGCUAAAUUAAUUCGCUGAACUAACAUGAUUUGUACCACCAAUUAUCGUUACUUUUAUGUGGAAUUUAUUUGUCCUUAGUCCUUUUAGGAUGUUCCUUUUUGUUUUGCGACAAAAAGUUACUGAAUUACAUUGAUUUUAUGGCUAUUUAGUUGGUCAAUUAAUGAGUAGAAACUUAACAAGUAGAUUCAUCUUCUAAACAAAUUAUGGUCCAAUCCAAGUGUUAGCUCCUCAUGUUUGUAACUUUUGUACAGGAAUUAAACAAAUGGCCCCUGUCGGCCAAUUUGCAGAAGAAUCUACUAGCAAUGGCCGCCGCCGACUCUGCCGGUUGCCACCGCGAUUCUGUACUCUCGCUAGCCUCUGUCAAAUUGAACCAAAGGAUGUUGAUCUCAAGUAGCAGGGACGGCGCCAUUAAGGUGUGGAAAUGAUUUUUACUUACCAAGCUUCAUAAUCUUGCUUUGUACAUAUAGAGUUGGCUUAAAUGAAAAAAGUAAAUAGGGAAUCUGUGAAUGUAAAAAGACUAUAACUCUUAUAUAAUAAAGUUAUUCCCCCUUUCUAACUAGGGGAUCUAUUUAAUAACUAAUUUGUAUUAAUAUUAAAUUUAUUUUUUAAAGUCCAUACUAAAAGGCAUUGAUUUAGUAGAUAUUUGGUCAUGUUUAGGUCUUAAGAUGGCUCAUCUAUUGUCUGCUUUGUUUUCUGCGGCUUUUACUGGUUAUCAUACUAUUAGCAUCAACACUUUCUGUCGUAUUUUCCAUGAUCUGUGGGUUGCAGAUUAUUAGUGUUUAAUGAGGACUUAAAUUUAAGUAUUAAUGAGAAGCCAAAAAGUCGAUAUAAAAUGGAAAUUAGGUGUUCAUCUUCAUUGAUUGAAUUUGUUUUCGGCAUGAUCACCUCAUUUUGCUAUUCCUUGAGAUGCAACAAAACAUUAGGAAGUAAGGUGGUCUCUCAUAGGUAAAAUGCUUACAAUUUCCAUUCAUUUUAUUGUGGUGUCUAUUAUGAUGGCUAAUUCCAGGUUUUCUACUAAUGUUUAAAAUUAGCACGAAUUUGUCAACCAUUAGCUUAAGUUACUGUAAGCAUUUGACCUCAAGUAUUUAAAUUUGAAAACCAAAUGAAUGAUUUCAAUAUAUAAGAUUAGUUUAGUUGGAAUGUGUAGACUUUUGCAUGUGACCUCAUCUACAUAUUUGAACUUCACCAUAUUUUCUUUGUCUUAGAAAUCAUGGUUUUAAAAUUUAAGAUGGCAUUGUGCUUUUGAGCUUUCUUUAUAUUUGAAAAGGGCAAAUUUUUUUUAAUGUAUCCCUGCCAAGUAUUGAAAUUUUGAAUUUUUACCUACAAAAUUUAAAUCAGAAACAUGCCUCUAAAGCUGUCAGAUAUGCAAAAUAUACCUGUUGGUUGGUUAUAAUUAGUUGACCGUUACUUUUUUACGGUCAAAACUUUUUUUCCCUUGUAAAUAAUAGGUUUCUUUUUCAAAUUUUAUUCAGAAUUUUUAUAAUUUACAGUUCAUGUAAGGUGAUAUGAACGUUAGUAUUAAACAUCAGAUAUCAAAAUAAUGUUUUAUAUAUAUAUAUAUAUAUAUAUAUAUAUAUAUAUAUAUAGAGUGAGGCUACUAUGCUAUCGGAAGCACGGAGCCUUCCGUGCUUCCAGCUUGUUUUCGAUGUUGCGACUUUCGAAUCGUCGAUCGCUCCGUUAAACUUGAUCUAGAAUAUUUGAAGUAUCUAGAAAAUAAAUUUUAUGAUUUUACGAUAUCAUUUGCCUAGUGAACGAAGGGGCUCAAAAUCAACGGCUGAAAAUAAAAAUUUUACAAAAUGUAAUAAUAUGAUAUUAAAAUUUUAAAUCAAAGAUAUUGAUCUUGUUUUAUAUAGUAUAAAAAAUUUUCUUCAAAAUUUCACGGUGAUUUGGAUAUUUUUACACCGUUAAACUUGCAAACGGUUCACUACGGCCAUUGAAAUUUGUUGAUUUGACCCAUUUGAUCACUAGGCAAUAAAUAUUGAAAAAUAAUAAAAUUUAUUUUCUAGGUACUCCAAAUACUUUAGAUCAAGUUUAACAUAGCUGAUCGACGAUUCGAAAGUCGCAAUAUCGAAAACGAGCUGGAAGCACGGAAGGCUCUAUACUUCCGAUAGCAUAGUAGCCUCACUUCUAUAUAUAUAUAUAUAUAUAUAUAUAUUAUAUAUAUAUAUAUAUUAGGCUACUAUACUAUCUAUAGUACCAAGUUCGGUACUAUAGUGUUUGUUUUCGAUCUUAGGGCGUUCAAAUCAAACGAUCCACACGUGUUAAAUAUGAUCUAAGGUAUAUGAAUUUUUUUAGGAAUAAAAUUUUAGUUUUUUUCGAUAUCGUUUACUUAGUAAAUAAAUUAUAUCAAAAUGGACGGUGAAAAUUGAAUAAUUUUAAAAUUUGAGCAUAGGACUUUUAAAUUCAAGAUCAAGAAUGUUAACCUUAAUCUAUAUAGUUUAAAGUAUUUUUUAUCAAAAUUUGAAGAUAUUUAGAUUCUUCUACACCGUUAAACUCCAAACUUGUCAUAAUGGCCAUUGAAAAUUGACAAUUUUGAAAUAAUUUGAUCAUAAAGUAAACUAUGUCGAAAAAAUAUAAAAUUUUACUUCUAAAAACUUUAAAUACCCUAGAUCAGUUUUAACGGUGUGGAUCGUUGAUUUGAACGCCCUAAGAUUGAAAACCAACACUAUAGUACCGGAGCUCGGUACUAUAGAUAGUAUAGUAGCCUAGCUUUAUAUAUAUGUAUAUAUUAGGGCUACUAUACUCUUAUGAGUAUUGGGCCCUUCGUACUCAUAAGUUGUUUUGCAUGAUGGGGUUUCUGAAUCGAUGAUUCACUCCGUUAAAUAUGAUCUAGAGUAUUUGAAACUUUUAGAAAAUAAAUUUCGUAAUUUUUUGAAAUCAUACCAAAGUCCAUCAAACGGGCAUAAAAUGAACGGUCAAAAUCGAAUGACGUCCUAAAAAUGGAUGAUCGGAUCCUUCAAUUUAAGAUCGGAGUUAUUGAUUUUUAUCUAGGUAGUGAAUAGAAUUUUCUAUCAAAAAUUCGACCUAUUUCAAUUUUUUUACACCGUUAAACUAGCAACUAUUCCAUACCGGCCGUUAAAAAUUGUCAAUUUUGUGAGCGUUUGAACGUAAGGUAAAUGAUGUCGAAAAAUUAUGAAAUUUGAUUUCUAAAAAUUUUAAAUGCUCUAGAUAAUGUUUAACGGUACGGAUCGUCGAUUCGAAAGUUUAUCAUAAAAAACAACUUAUGAGUACGAGGGCGAUCGUACUCUUAUAUAGUAGCCGGACUUAUAUAUAUAUAUAUAUAUAUAUAUAUAUAUAUAUAUAUAAAAUACUUUUAGAAGCACCACCUUCUUGGUGCUUCUGAGUUUUUAGCCCUUGGAUCUACUCCUUACAUACUAACCCUUCUACCA